ACGGGGAGCAGCAGGCGCGAAACCUUUACACUGCACGCAAGUGCGAUAAGGGGACCCCGAGUGCGAGGGCAUACAGUCCUCGCUUUUCCGGACCGUAAGGUGGUUCGGGAACAAGUGCUGGGCAAGACCGGUGCCAACCGCCGCGGUAAUACCGGCAGCACGAGUGAUGGCCGAUGUUAUUGGGCCUAAAGCGUCCGUAGCCGGCCGAACGAGUCCGUCGGGAAAUCCACUCGCUCAACGGGUGGGCGUCCGGUGGAUACUGUUCGGCUUGGGGCCGGAAGACCCGAGGGGUACGUCCGGGGUAGGAGUGAAAUCCCGUAAUCCUGGACGGACCGCCGGUGGCGAAAGCGCCUCGGGAGGACGGACCCGACGGUGAGGGACGAAAGCUAGGGUCACGAACCGGAUUAGAUACCCGCGUAGUCCUAGCCGUAAACAAUGCCCGCUAGGUGUGGCACCGGCUACGAGCCGGUGCUGUGCCGUAGUGAAGACGUGAAGCGGGCCGCCUGGGAAGUACGUCCGCAAGGAUGAAACUUAAAGGAAUUGGCGGGGGAGCAC
rnacentral:rRNA from 1 species